ACCAGGAUGGCCGAGUGGUUAAGGCGUUGGACUUAAGAUCCAAUGUACGAAUGUACGCGUGGGUUCGAACCCCACUCCUGGUA
rnacentral:tRNA from 2 species